GAAGUUUGAGACCAGCCUGGCCAACAUGGCAAAAACUCAUCUCUACUAAAAAAUACAAAAAAUUAGCCAGGUGUGGUGGUGCACACCUUUAAUCCCAGGCACUCGGGAGGCUGAUACAAGAGAAUCGCUUGAACUGGGGAGGCGGAUGUUGAAGUGAGCCGCAUGCCCAGCUAAUUUUUGUAUUUUUAGUAGAGACGGGGUUUCACUAUGUUCGCCAGGCUGGUCUCGAACUCCUGACCUCAUGAUCCACAUGCCUCGGCCUCCCAAAGUGCUGUGAUUAUAGGCUUGAGCCCCCGCGCCUAGCCUUAUGUUCAUUCUUAAAAUUUAUUUUAAAACAAAUAAUUGUCAGAAUGCACACAUAAGUUUGUCAGAGCAUUAAUUCAUUACCUACUAUGUGUAGGACAGUGAGAUUGUACAGCCCCUUCCUCCUUUGAACUUACAGGUUAUAAAUCAAAUCAUGCUUCAUGUUUGUUUUAACUUGCAACCAUUUUAAAAUCAGAACUUUUUUCAAAGCUGUUGUUAUCUUGUUUAAAAUUAUUCAAAUACCAACUUGGGAGUUUUCCUUAAACUCUAUUCUGCAUUUAUAGAGAAAAUAUUCUGUAUUUAUCUUACGUGCAAAGUAGAAUCUUUGUACUAAAAAUCUGCGACGUGAAAUCUGAAAAAAACAGUGGUCUGUAGCAGUCUUUUAAAGAUUACACGCUUCCACAUUUCCACAUUCCUCAGAUUCUAUCUAUAUUAAGAGCCAUCGUCCUGCGAAGGAUGUGGUCAGUCUGAGUUGCAGUCAGCAAGGUCAGGUUAUCUUUUCUUUCUUCUUUUUUUGAGACAGAUUCUCACUCGAUCGCCCAGGCUGGAGUGCAGUGGCGUGAUCAGCUCACUGUAGCCUCCACCUCGUAGGUUCAAACUAUUCUCGUGCCUCAGCCUCCUGAGUAGCUGGGAUUAUAGGCACCCGCCCCCAUGCUUGGCUAAUUUUUUGUGUUUUUAGUAGAGACAAGGUUUCACCAUAUUGUCCAGGCUGUUUUUGAACUCCUCGCCUCAAGUGAUCUACCUGCCUGAGACUCCCAAAGUGCUGGGAUUGCAGGUGUGAGCCACUGUGCCCAGGCUGUUUAUCUUAAGACCAGAUGUGGCAGCUGGUGCUGGGUAAACGCCCUGUGACUUUUCCUGCUUCACACAAAACAGGAACAAACAGGAGAAAACCGGGCACUUGAGACUUGGGCUAGAGCUGCUUGCUCUUCCAUGCUUUCCUUAAAAAAUGAGUUUGGCUCUCCUUUUUGAGUAGCUGGAGAGCAGCCCCUUACGCUUUCACGAUAAUUGUGUCAAAGUUCCACAUUAGGACAGGACUUUCUGGGUGCGCCUCCGAGUCUCCCCAUGCCUCCAGCAAAGCUGCCACUUCCCUGUUCAGCCCAGUCUGCGUGCUGGGUCCGGCAGGCACUGAGCAGGGCAAGGCUGCGGGGCCUCCUUGCCGCGCUGUGAUUUCGGGCACAGAGGGUCGGCUUCUGUGGUCUUCAGUUUCCCUGGAGCGCCCAGUCCCCUCGCUCACCCCUCCAGUCCACUGUGGGGCCUUACCACCCUUGCUGCCAGGCUGCUCACACCUCCGUUCUGAUCAUCCCUUUGGAGGCGCCAUUCACUGCUGCCCUUACGGUUGCACACCUAAUAACCUAAUGGAAUUGUCUCUGAUUGUGUUAACUGUGUAAGAAAACGCAGUAUGGCUUUCAGAUUAAAUUCCUCUGCCUCUGUGGGCCAGCAUUAUUUCCGGUUUUCAAAUGCAAACUCAUACGUGCUUGUGGUCCUUUCAUAUCAAUUCAAACUUGAAUUAAACAGGUGAAAAUGUUGCCCUGUCUCCAGGUAGAUUGCGUCAAGAUUGAGUUUGAGGAGACCUGACUGGCGUCUCUGGCUCGUUGCAGGGAAAGCGGCCACGUUUCUGUGUUGAUUGUUGUGUUGGUGUAAGAGCAGAGGAGAAAAAUGGUUUGAGUUUUUCCCCAAACAGUAGGAAAUUUACCUUUAAUUUAAA
rnacentral:lncRNA from 1 species